AGGACGAGUAGCCCGCAACCGCCUGGACAACAACAACAAAGACAUUAUUGUUCAGGCCAGUGACCGGCUAACAUCGGCGCCUCCAGCCGGCGAAGCCCCUUCGCCUCUUCUCUUCUCUUUCCGGUGAGGAUGAGUGACAACAACGAGGCAGCAGUAGCCGCCGGCAAACGACACCAACAGUGCUAAUUAAACAGCUGAUUAGCGAACCUCUUUCUUCCUCUCCUCCCAUUCUUGGGAAGUCUGGCAACUGGUGAAGCCACCAACGAAAGAGCAGUAGCAGCCGACGACAACCAGCAACUCUAGACCAACAAAAAAAGCUCGGGGCAGUGGCUACGAAAUCAACAACAACGAUAAGAUGGCCACUACAAGGUUCCGACCAUGGACCAAAAUGGAAAAAAGUGACCUGGUGUGUAACAUUGAAUUCUAGUUUGAAGAGUCGCCAGGGAUGGAAUUCCGGACGGGAUUUAGUUCUAUUUACAUUCGUAUUUGUCAUAUUUGUAUCAUUUUUAUUCAGUCAUGUAAUAGUUGUAUUAACUAUUCUCCAUAAUAUAUAUGAAAUAUUUGUGGGAUCCUCUAAGGGGAAGAGGGUAUAUGUGCUAA